UGCAGUCGAGCGAUGGAUUGAGAGCUUGCUCUCAAGAAGUUAGCGGCGGACGGGUGAGUAACACGUGGGUAACCUGCCCAUAAGACUGGGAUAACUCCGGGAAACCGGGGCUAAUACCGGAUAAUAUUUUGAACUGCAUGGUUCGAAAUUGAAAGGCGGCUUCGGCUGUCACUUAUGGAUGGACCCGCGUCGCAUUAGCUAGUUGGUGAGGUAACGGCUCACCAAGGCAACGAUGCGUAGCCGACCUGAGAGGGUGAUCGGCCACACUGGGACUGAGACACGGCCCAGACUCCUACGGGAGGCAGCAGUAGGGAAUCUUCCGCAAUGGACGAAAGUCUGACGGAGCAACGCCGCGUGAGUGAUGAAGGCUUUCGGGUCGUAAAACUCUGUUGUUAGGGAAGAACAAGUGCUAGUUGAAUAAGCUGGCACCUUGACGGUACCUAACCAGAAAGCCACGGCUAACUACGUGCCAGCAGCCGCGGUAAUACGUAGGUGGCAAGCGUUAUCCGGAAUUAUUGGGCGUAAAGCGCGCGCAGGUGGUUUCUUAAGUCUGAUGUGAAAGCCCACGGCUCAACCGUGGAGGGUCAUUGGAAACUGGGAGACUUGAGUGCAGAAGAGGAAAGUGGAAUUCCAUGUGUAGCGGUGAAAUGCGUAGAGAUAUGGAGGAACACCAGUGGCGAAGGCGACUUUCUGGUCUGUAACUGACACUGAGGCGCGAAAGC
rnacentral:rRNA from 2 species